GGGCCGUUAGCUCAGUCGGUAGAGCAGCUGACUUUUAAUCAGUUGGUCACUGGUUCGAAUCCAGUACGGCCCACCA
rnacentral:tRNA from 1 species